ACAACAUUUGAGAGAAAUAGUCCUUUUGUGUACAUAGAGAAAGUUUUAGAUCUUUGAGUUAAGCUCAUGAUGAAUGGGGGCAAAAACAAAAGUGUUGCAUUUAUAAUUUUGUUCCGUGUAGUAUUGACACUGCAUUUUAUACAUGGUUUUAUUGAUUUGACACUAGUUGUAUUCCAGUAUUCAUUAUAUUAUGUAAUGAUUUAACGUUGCACCACACUUUAUCAUUGCUAAGCAUUUUAGCAUAAUUAUUUUAUGAUAUUAUGGUACUAACACUGGCCAAGGCCGAGACGGGAAUACUAAAUUUUGCUCUUCAUUUUUACAUGGCAGAAUGAGAAUAACUAUCCUUGAAUCCUAGCUUGGUUUGACGCUAAACAUCAGCAUGUUAGCAUUGUCAUUGUGACCAUGUUAGCAUUUAAUUCAAAGCACCUCUGUGUCUGAGUACAGAGCGUCACAGAGCAGCUAGCAUGGCUGUCGACCCUUAAUCUUGUUUCUGAUAAAUGACUAAAGAUUAGAAUCAAUUCACAAAUAGUUGUUGAUAAAUAUUUUGUCAAUCAACUGAUUGAUCGACUAAUCUGAAACUGUGGGGUUUCUGUGUAUUUUCCCUGCAUUCCUUCUCCCAGUUGUCUGUCUUGGUGUAUGUGUGUAUAGGCAUGGCUGGGUCGUUGCCAGUAUAGCACUCUAUCGAAAUCGAAAGAUCGGCAGUUCAAUUCCCGGCUCCAGUCUGCGUGUCGAAGUGUCCUUGGGCAAGAUACUUUACCCCGAAUUGCCCUUGUGGCUGUUCCACCAGUGUAUGAAUGUGUGUGAAUGGUGAAUGCGAUGUAGUGUAACAGCGCUUUGAGUGGUCGCAAAGACUAGAAAGGCGCUAUCAUUUACAUCUUUAAUUAUACAUGUUUAUAAAACCUGAGUGUUUUACUUUCUGCCCUUGUGAAAGCAUUUUGUAAAAUGGAUUUUAAAAAGUGCUCUAAAAUUAAAGAUUAUUAUUAUUAUUAUUAUUAUUAUGUUAAGUAGUUCAAAAGGUAACAAAUGGAUUGAAGAAGAUCAGAGGUCAUUGGUAGGGUCUACUUGAUGAAUUAAAGAGGUAAAAAGGAAAUGUUCACAACCUGAACAACCCAAAAGUUGUCUGUAAUGGUUUAUAACUGAUCUAUACAGCAUCAGUAAAUGAUUGAUUAACCACUAGUAAAAGGAUAAGUUGCAUCACAUAAACCCUUAGUAAAGGAUGACCUAUUUGAAAGUGUGAUUGAUGCGUGCAAAUAGGCUAUACAGUUUUAGCUGACACCCGCCAGCCAAUCAGAAACAUGAAUUUUCCUUCGACAUCAAAAAACAUAAUCCCAUAUACACACUUUCGAUUAUUUAAAGCAUUUCAAAGUUACUUGUAACUUGCUGUAAGAUCCCUUUUAUGUGCAUGCAUUUGUUUUUCUGAUGCAUGUUGUCAAAAUACACAUUUAAAUGCACAAAAUUUUGUCACAAAAUCAUUCUUCUAUCAAAAAGUAUCAAUUUUGGUGUUGGUCUUCAUUUCUUUGAUUUUCACCGUCUUGUGUUUGGCAAUCUCUACCGCCAAACACAGUAGUUGUGAGAAGAACAAUAAAUCACUGUAUUAUCUCACUCACAUUAACCACUAGACAUUUUAUGAGUGUGUGACAUAAGUCAAAGGUCAUUUGCCUCAGGAUAGUCAUGAAGAGUCUGUGAGCUCAAUGUGUGUCACUGAUGUUUUGUUGUGGCUCUGCUUUUGAUUAAUUUGGUAAAGACUAUCAAAUUGCACCUGUUUUCUCAGUAUGUUACACACAAACACACACACACACACACACACACACAGGUAAAACAUGCACACCAGCGACCCACUGGAGGUCAUAUUGUAGGGCUCUGGCUGUAGUCCUCCUGUUCCUCCUUGCACAAACGAGUAGAUGGUUAUGGUUAUGGUAUGGUCUCAAAGAGAUGCACCCAGAGCGUUUCCCACAGACGCUAAAUAACUACACCUAACUCACUUUUUCUGAAAGCAUUGGUAUUGGAUGCCCUAAGAUGAGAAGGGUCUGAGUGGCCCGUCUCUUGGUAUCUCCUCCAUGCUUUUGAGACAGUGCUAUAUGAGGCACAGAAAACCUUCUUGCAACAGCAUCUACCAGUGUAACCUAAAUGGACUGCAGGUACCAUCUUAUGCUGUCAGUAGUGACAAGGAAACUAGCAAAACGCAAAACUAGAGAACAAUCAGUCAGGAAAGAUAAGGAGCAAGUAUUUGUCUUUGACUACCACCUACAAAACCUUUCCCUUUUUGGGGGUUGUCUUGCUGUUGCCUCUCCAGUGCACCUGUUGUCACUUUUAAUUGCACCAAAACAAGUGACACUGAUUAAAAUAUACAAACAUGCCCUAUUUUGAAAUUACUUUUUUUUUAGUUCAGAUUUAUUGCAUUAAAAUCACACAAAUUGAGCAGAGGAGCACAACUGCAGAAUCUUUAAUUGUUUUGCCUUUAAUUACCUAACUAGUGUUUUAACAGCAGCACAUACGUAAGCAACCAUAUCAAAUAAUGUAAUAAUAUUUAGUAUCAGAAACCUGGCAGACCUAAUCAACAGUCAACCAUCAAGCAGAAGACCCAUUGUUAAGCGCCUGUCGCAGACCAUUGCUGUGGACCUUUUGGUUGCAUCACUGGCAUUUGUUGGCCUUUGGUGGGAGUUCAGACUGUGUGCUGCAUUGGUGCAUUAGUGUGUUGUUUCAGGUACGGCUGAAGUGGUUAAUAAUAUGAUUGAGUAAUAGAUCCAUAAGUUUGAAGGCUUAUCAGAUGGGAAAACACUGAACAGCUGUUUGUAAUAAUACAAGGAAGUAUUUUACAAGAUGAGUUAUCAAGAUGGCCAUUCUUUUAUCUUUCAUAGGGAUAAUCUACCAGGAAUGUGCACUUGCACAUAUUAUGUAGGGCCACCUCAGCACAUUGCGAUGCAGCAAAAGUUGAGUAAGGUUCAUUGUUGUCUGUAUUGACGCAACUGAUAUCUGUCUGAACUUUGUUUAGCCUAGCGAAUCAUUGACUUUACCAAUUAGUUUUUCCCUUUUGUUGCUGCCUCUGUCUGUUCUUUUCUUCUUGCACUUAACACAUGUCACCACAAGGGUGGUUACUCAAGGUGGAGGAAUCUAGGUGGAAGAGUAAUGUGCGCCUGAAUUCACCUGUGCAUUACAAAUACAGAGUACAGAGCAAGCAUGCAUGUUGGUCUUCAGCUGUAUCCUUUUUGAUGUGUUAAAAGUUUGACCUUUAAUAGAAAACAUGAGAUGAACAAAACUUUUGAUCGGACCGGCUAGUUCUUUGGCUCGGUGCAUCUGGGUGGGUGUGGUUUAUUUUUAUCAUAAAUUUGAAAGUGAUACUAGCGCUAUUUUAAGUCAUAGUUAAGGACACUUCUUCUUGACUUUUCUACUCUCAUUGUAAUUAUCUAAACCACACCUGUCAGCUGUUAACUUUAAUAGUCAAACUGGUAUUAAAACAUAUUUGCUGCUCAGGGUUUAUAUGGGGCACAUGCAUAUACAAACACAACCAACACGUGACUUUGCAGCAGCAGAUUUUGAAUAUUGAUCUGCAUUGAAGGGAAUGUGUUUUUGUCGGACCUCUGCAUACAUAUAUAGAGUUACAUCAGCAACAAGCAACAACACAAGGAAAAUAGCUAUAAAAACAGUGAUUUCUUUUUCCAUUAAGUAUGUCAGCAAAAUAGUUUUGUUGUCUAUAAAACAAGUGAAAUACCCCACAAAAUAUUCUGAGCUUUUUCCAGUGUUUUUUUUCUUAAAAAAGAUGCGAAAACAACCACCCUCCUGUUCAACCACCCCCCCCCCCACCACCACACACACCUAAUGUGGCUUAAUAGCGGUUUUAAAAGUAGUUUUACAAUAAUGCUCACUCCGCAGCUUGCUCACAAAGCUGGCAGGCUGGCAGGUCAGAGCUUGUGAUUGAGUCAAUGAGACCAUUAUGUUCCCUAUGUUGCAGCCAGAGCCUAUAACCUGCUCAACUGCUGGCUGGGGAAAAGGCCCCACAGGAAAAGCACAGGAGAAACCCACACAGUUGCAUAAGCACGCUCACACUUGUUUAAGCACACCAGUAUGAGCACAUGGACAGAACCUAAAUAGACAGACACACUACACACAUACUACAUACAUUCAGACACAACCUUCACAAAUGAGCAGGGACACUAACACAAAAAGUACACAGUCAUACUGGAGUCCCUGAAAGGCUGCAAUGAUCGUUGAAGAACAGAAAAAAUGUUUCGUGAAAACUAGACUGGCAACUUCCUAUUCCAAGUUAGAUACGUACCACUUACUGACCUCUUAUAGGGCAACAACUAUAAAGUCUGGCCUGAGGGUGGCACCAGAGGAAAAGCCAGGGGUUUAUCCUUUGUGCAGUGGUCAUUUUCAGAACAUCUCAGACUCAGCUUUUCAUUCAUACACUUGUCUCAGCUUUCAACUGUCUAAGCUGGAGCCUCAGCCCAGCUUAGACAGUCUCUUUGGGACUUCCUCUGACAGAGUCUGAUGGAAAAGCCAUUACAGUUCAAAUGUUAGUGUCGAGCACAGUAGCACAUUAGUAUUCACCUCAAGGAGUCAGUGUAGGUUUAUCUCCAUCUUGGAGUGCCUUAUCUACUGUGUGACAUUCCCAGUAGAUUUCCAUUAAAAGGUUUAGAGAAGUUGACCAGAUGUACAUUUGCCAAACCAACCUGUUUGUCCUGUGCCACGCAUGGACAAACAAAGAUGAGAACCAUGCUUAAUCUGAAGUGUUUUCAAUCAGUGUGUUUCAGUUUUACAAGAGAGUGAUAAGGACUAAGGACUGGUUGGCAAACAUACAUCUGGUUGACUUUUCCACCUCAGAUAAAGAGCAGCACACACCCUCUUUUCUAAGCUUUGCAUUUGGGACUGUCUUCCAAACAUAGCUAAUCCUCAAGCUGGAUCUCUACUUGAAAAGACUGAUGUAGCUUCUGAGUUAUAGUUCAGUGUCAGAUCAUGGUAUGGUACAUCCCCCAGUUCGGUCUCUGUGUGGUAACUCCGUAGCUCCUCAAAGUAGAAUUAGAAAUCGAGCUACAACUGUGCUUCAGCUCUUGAGCUUAAUACUAAUGUGCUAAUGUACUCAAAGCUAACACGUGAUAUAUUAGAUGGUCAGCAUGCUACCAUGAUAUUGUCGGCUUGUUAACAUGUACACGCCAUUAAAAUUCAACCUCUAGGUAUUUUCUGGUAUUCCAUCCAUCCAAUAGUUGACAAAAUAUUUCACUCAGGACCAGAGAGUUGGACAUCUGCUCUACAUUGCUAUCUCUAGAGCUACACCACUAGCUUAGCUAAAAAAUAGGCCAUCCAAAGGGAACAGUUGUUUGACGAGCAGCUGGUUUAAGUUACAAUUCAAUCGGCAUUGUGCAAAACAUUUCUAUUAUUUACCCUGGCUCUAGAACACUGGGAGGAUUCGGAUUAAUUAAUCAUCUCACUUAUUGCAAAAUUAUAUCGAGACUGCCACAGUUAAGUCAAAGGUAUAGGCCAAGAUAAAAUAAAGCUCAGGUAAUAUUUUUCGAGCUUUGUGAUGGACAAAAUAUUUCUGUGGCAGAUUUUAUAAAAACACACUUAUGUUUAAAUGGUUUUGGCUUCAAUAUGAUUUCCAGUGAUAACAAUUCUCACAUAAUCCAAAUAACUGUACAAUACCACGGCACAAGGCCGGCCAGCCGGCCCCAGGGUGGGGGAACACUAUCAGGGAGAUUGGGUGUCUUUUUUUCUUUGCCUCCACAUUCAUUGCAUCUAUAAUCAGGUCAUAACCUAGUUGAUGUGUUUAUGAGAUAAGCCGCUGCACUGCAGGCAAGUACAUGUGAAGAGUAUAGAGUGGCCGGGUGUGGAAAACCACAGUCACAUGAUGGACACUGCAGCUCCUCCGACUCAAACCUGAGCGUGGGCGGCGAGUUGUCUUUUUAUGUGAAGUAUACACAUUAGGCUCUAUGUAAUUACAGAACGACUGUGGUGUAUAAUUUGAGUCAUCACAGAGAGAGUGAAUGAAGUGUGUAUGGUGUUACUGUAGUGUGGGAAAGAGGUGUGUGGGUCAAUAUUGGGAGGGUGUUGUUGUACACCACCAGGGGGCAGUAGAAUAGCUCCCAAAGGACCUGUGGGGCUUCACUGUCAGAAUGCAGGUCACAAUCUAGUUUUCUCCAGUGUCCUCUCUUUCUUUUUGUCCAUCUUUACUUUUUCUUCCUCUCAUUUCAUUUUCUCUCAUUCUGCUCACCCUCCCGCUUUCUCUUCCCUCCCUGCUUUCCCCAUUUCUCAAAGCACAGACAGUUCGCUUGCACAAUUGAGUUAUUUUCAGUACAAACACCUACCGAUUUCUCCACUGCUAACCAAAUUACUGUACAUAUUUGUGGGUCCACUCAUGAGAGAUGUGAGGUUGGCAUGUUUCGGGGGCGGGAUGGAAGAAGUGAGUUGAGUACAGUGGGUGGGUACCCCACCCCGUACCACCAAGAAAAAAGAAAUGAAGGGGGAAAAAAAGAAAAUACUGAUAUUCAUUUUUUCAAAUACAAUUAUGGGCACCUUCCAAUCUUAUAUCCUAUAUUCUUUACACAAACACAGCGCACUAGAUCGGCUAAUUGCAAACUGUUACAAACAAGCUAAAAUGGAAGCUGUCUGUGUAGUCUAACUGUUAAGCUUAGUUUUCCACGUACCUUAAAAUUUGGCACAUUCUUGUAAACUUAGCUGCUGGCGGAGACUCUCUCUCUCUCUACCAGUGGUACCUGCAGUCAGUGAAUCACAUCAGGAGCAAAACAUUCACUUUCCUCAUGCACUUUCACUGCGGCGGCAUGCUGGUACUUCUCUCACACACUGGGAGAGACUCGCUUCCCACAGCAAACCCAUUGAUCUCCGUCACAUACACAGGUUACCCAGAACACCUUCCUUAAAGGGGGAGGCUCAGCCAGUAGAGUUAGGCUGUCGGCAUGCCAACCUAACUUGUUAGAAAACAUAGUAACUGUAUACCGUGACUAAGUGUUUGUUUACCUUGAUAGACAGAGAGAGGCAGUUGCAGAGGAAGUACUCCGAUACUUUACUUCAGUAAAAAUACUAAGACCAUACUGUACAAAUACUCUAUUAAGUCCUGCAUUGGAAAUGUUACUUGAGUAAACUUUUGAAGUAUAAUGUACUCAAAGUAUCAAAAGUAAAAGUACUCAUUGCAGAAAAGUAAUAAUUUCUUAAGUAAUUUUAUGGACCCUGACCUAGCUACAAGAAUGCACUGCAAAAAGUGAGUUCUCAAAAACAAGGGAAAAAAGCAUUAAAAUGGGGGACAUAUUGAUAAAAUAAACAAAAUUAUCUGCCAAAAGAACAAGAAUAUUUCAUUUGCUACUUAAGGAACAAGUGAAAUUCUCUAACGUAAAAGCCGCCUGGUAAGAAGAAAUAUCUUGUCAAACAAAAAACAAGUAUAUUUUGCCUUCAAUUAAGAUAAUUAAUCUUACUUAGAUUUUAGUUUUUGCAGUGUGGGGAUCCAACAAACAUUUAGUGAUGCCAAAACAGUUGACUGGUUCCUAGCAUUCAUGAAGAGGAUUCUAUGCCUCUCUGUCCACACCACACCAGCCUUGUUCAGGCAGUGGGCUUUAAUAAAGUAAAAGCGGGUGAAUUCUUUGAUGGGCUAUGUCCUACCAAGCUUAGGAGCAUGGAUGAGACAGGCAUCCAAAGGUCUAGAAACCCCGGCCUGUAGUAGCAACAAAAGGGGCUCGACAAGUUGGGAGGAUGACGAGUGCAGAAAGAGAAUAUAAAGUUACCACUGUGUGUACGAUAAAUGCUGCAAGGUAAUUUGUUCCCUAGAAAGAGAAUCCUAUUGUCUCACCAACUUUGCUAAGAACACGAAUGCCAGAAAGAAUGAUCCACACAUCCUCAUACUUGAUAGGCACCACUCACAUAAAAUCAAGCGAAAACUUCCAGGGCUGAAAAAUGAAGUGUCAAAAACUGCAGGUUCUGGAGUCAGUCCCCAUAGACCCUCAUAUUAAAACUUUUGGGGGGGAAUUUUUUUAUAACUCCCCUGUUAAAAUUAUAUUAAGGCUUAAGGUUAUAAUUGAGGGGAUUUCGCAGUAGCCAGGCUUCAUUCGGCCUUGCCUCAACUCCACCAAUGCUCCACCUCUUUGCCCAUUUUUGUAGUUAAGUGAGUCAGGCACUGCCAACACGGCUGGAGCCUCAUACACUGAGCUUCACAAUCGCUUUUCAGAAACUUACAGGUGACGUCAUGGAGACUAUGUCCAUGUUUUAUACAGUCUAUGUAUAAAAUCUUAAGAGGCUGUUAAUCUAGCAAGAGAUCUUGGCAUAAUCUUGAUUUCACUACCAGACCACAGCAGCCAUGAAAUGCAGCCCUUCAUCAGGAUCUGUUUCACCAUCCUGAAGGUGAGCUACAACAAAGUGGCUGAACAAUGGAUGACCAUAAACCAUGAGAAGAGGAUUACAGGGUUCCCACACAUUUUUUCUAAUUAAUUAAUUGUUCCAUAAUAUUUUACCCCAUUUCCAUGACUUUAUUUAAACAGUUUAAUAUAGGUAGGUCUAUAUAGCGAUCAUAGGAUGCAAUAGAGAGGCUAAGUCCCUCACCUUGUGGUCGACCACCAUAGGACCUUAUUUCGGAAAAAAUAUGUACAGUAGCGAGAGGCAAUACAUUUUUUUAAAUCUUGUUUGAAUUGUGCCCUGAAUUACACAGGUUUACAGAAGGAUGCACUUGUUCAAAGUCCUGAUCUCUGUUGCCUGAAAUUGUGUCUAGUUGUUAAUUUUUGGAAUUCUUCUUCCAUUGUGCAGUGGUUCUGGCGGACCUAGCAGCUGGCAACCUUAUUUUAGCAGAUAAGGGGUUCUUGAUCUCAAACAUUGAGCCUGUGGGUGCCAUAGUAAACCACCGUCCAUCCUCAACAAGGGAAAGUUCACAGAGAUUGAGGUGAAAGCAACUAAGGCCAUUUUUCAUCUUGAGAAGGUAAAUGCCAGGCUGAAGGAGUUCAGGAUUCUGGACCUGAUUUCUUCAACUCGAACCAGCCAAUGCGCUGGUGCAGCUCUGUUGUGCCUUGGUAAAUUUGCAAAACCUACUCAUGCUGCUCCCUGUUUAAAAACAAGUUGUUGGAGUAUGUUCUUCAAAAUUCUGAUAUGGUUAAGGCAAGGAUAUUAAAUAUGUAAUUGGAUCAUUAGCUUCCCUGUACUGGUACAGGUACUGACAGGAGACACUACGGGAAUGCUGAUAUACAGUAAGUGUAUUAACAAUGUUUGAUAAUACAACAGUGCAGUGAUACAAAUUAAUUCUGGAAAAAAGGACAGUCUAAAAUUAAUAAUUGGAGGAAUGAAUGACAGUUCAAGAAUACCGACGCUAUGAGGAUAACUGAGGCUACCAUUAGCUAACAUCCAGUGGAUAAAUGGAUAAAUGGUCACCCAGUGGAUGACAUGGGUCACACAUAAAGUAAUAGUUUGUCGUUUUCAGAUGAGUUUAAAAGACUGGCUGAUCAAAAGAAGAAAGACAAGUGAUGCCUAUGAUGACAAUGAGGUGGGUCUCUGCUGUCUGGCAGCAAUGUUUUGAAAGACAGGACAUGUGGUGAUGCAGGGAAGCUCAGAUGUGAGUUGACGCCAGAGAAGAGAAAGUGAACAGGAGCAUAGAAGAAAGAAGCAAAGUACAGCUGCUGGUGCUGUACCAGGAGGAGCAGAGGCAGGAGGACAGAAAAGAUCAAGGCCAAUAAAGACCGGCUGUCGCCACAGCACACCCGGCUACUCAUAGGCAAUCUGGUUUUAAUCCGGGGAGGACGGUGAACCCAAAAUUCAAGCCUUGGCUGUACUAUACAGCUGACCAUGAGUACCACAUGUAACAUAUUGAGCAGUAUGGGGCUUGAUCUCUCAAAUGCUUUAACAAUUAUAUCCACCACCACUUCUUAAAGAAUAAAAUACAUCAAAAAUCUUGUUCCCA